rnacentral:rRNA from 1 species
UACAGAGGUCUCAAGCGUUGUUCGGAUUCAUUGGGCGUAAAGGGUGCGUAGGCGGCGCGGUAAGUCGGGUGUGAAAGCCCCCGGCUCAACUGGGGAGGGUCACUCGAUACUGAUCGACUUGAAGGCAGGAGAGGGAAGCGGAAUUCCCGGUGUAGUGGUGAAAUGCGUAGAUAUCGGGAGGAACACCAGUGGCGAAGGCGGCUUCCUGGCCUGUUCUUGACGCUGAGGCGCGAAAGCUAGGGGAGCAAACGGG